rnacentral:tRNA from 1 species
GCCUGAGUGGCUUAGUCGGUGAAGCAUCUGCCUUCGGAUCAGGUCAUGAUCCCAGGGUCCUGGGAUCAAGCCCCACAUCGGGCU